UAAGACGUAGGAUGCAAGCGUUGUCCGGAUUCAUUGGGCGUAAAGAGUUCGUAGGCGGUUUAUUAAGUCUGGUGUUAAAGACUGGGGCUCAACCCUGGGACAGCACUGGAUACUGGUAGGCUGGAGUGUGGUAGAGGCAAGCGGAAUUCCAGGUGUAGCGGUGAAAUGCGUAGAUAUCUGGAAGAACACCGGUGGCGUAAGCGGCUUGCUGGGCCAUAACUGACGCUGAGGAACGAAAGCUAGGGUAGCGAAUGGGAUUAGAUACCCCAGUAGUCCUAGCCGUAAACGAUGGAUACUAGGCGUAGUGGGUAUCGACCCCCGCUGUGCCGCAGCAAACGCGCUAAGUAUCCCGCCUGAGUAGUACGGCCGCAAGGUUG
rnacentral:rRNA from 1 species